AAGAGUGAACUAGCUAACUGAAAUCAUAUUAAACAUAAGUGUGUAAAAUAUGAUAAGGUAAGGGAAAAAACUGAUGUUACCUUACUAUUAGUGUUGUCCAAAACUGGUGCCAGAAGACUCGGUAAGACCAGAAACGCGAACGUUAAUCGUCCUAAUCAGGCGUAAAGGGUUUGUAGGCUGCUUUUUCUAUUUCUAAUUAUAAUAGCUCUGAAUUUUUUAAAUUUAUUUUUUACUAAUUAGUAAAUAGUAAUUUAUUCUUUUUCAGUUAUUUAGGAAUACAAAAAAAGCUAGAAUCAAAUAGAGGAUAGGCCAAAUAAUACCUAGAGUAGGGUUGAUAUCCACAGAUACUAGGGGGAAUACUAAUGGUGAAAGCUUUUAUCUACUACUGAUUGACGCUGAGAAACGAAGGUGAGAAUAGGAAAUAGGAUUAGAUACCCAGAUACCUCUCACUGUCAACGAUGAAUGGUGGUUGUUAGUUUAUAUAUAAACUGAUAACGAUGUUAACGCGAUAACCAUUCCGCCUUGCGAGUACGGUUGCAAAACUGAAACCAAAAAAAUUAGUCGGUCUCGAAGCAAACGAAGUGGAGCAUGUUAUUUAAUU
rnacentral:rRNA from 1 species